CAACUUUGAGAGUUUGAUCCUGGCUCAGGACGAACGCUGGCGGCGUGCCUAAUACAUGCAAGUCGCGCGGACUUCUUCGGAAGUCAGCGGCGGACGGGUGAGUAACACGUGGGCAAUCUGCCUCUUAGAC
rnacentral:rRNA from 1 species